GGAUAACCUGAUAAGGGGAAGAGCAAGACCAUUCCAGAGGAAAGAGGGUCCUGAGCACAGAGAAAUGAGCAGGUAGAUUAUAAUGGGCCAUAAAGUCAAUGUCUGUGUUAAGUCCCAGAUUUUUAGUAUCCAGUAGUUAUUAAUGUUUGUUCCCAGACCUGUCUUUUGAAGAUGUUUUAUAAAUGUCUCUUGAGAAUGAGGCUUGUGAGGUCAGAAAGCGCACAGUUGUUCCAAUAAAAGAGAUCACCCUUGCCAUAUUUUCUGGACCAUCGUGGCUACAAUAUUAUUCCAGCACUACCCAUAAAAGAUCAUCCAUUCUGCAUGCAUGCACACAUCAUGCUCCAAAGACCCAUGGGUGCACAGUGGGCUAUCUCAGAGGCAUGAUCAGUCUUGGCACAGUGGACUGUGUCACACCUGAACCUGUUAAGCGAGCUGGAGUUGCAUAGGAACCCAAAGUCAUUCUUUCAACCUGGUGAUGAUGUAGGAGUUCCUGGAAGCUGUCUCCUGCAAUGGUUUAGCUGUUUAGAGAGUGCGCAGCACUGUCCAGCCAGCAUUACUGUUACAUACAGUGGCAGGUUCUUGAACAGUGUCAAGUGUGGUUCAGUGUAUUAGCUGUAUUGGGAUGCCACAUUUCACAUAAAGAGUUGUUUGUGUGGACCAGUAAUCAUAACACAUUUGUUGGUUUCAGUGUGCCUAUAAUAAUUCUUGUGAUGUGAUUAAACUGGAUAUCUACUACUAAGGUGUGGGCUCAGUUUAACUCAAAUGGGGCAAAGAAUUCACCAACUAAAGAGCAGAAAUCAAGACCUGAAUUAAUCAGCAUUUGUAUACUGCCUUCCCAGAUAAACCAUACUAAUUUGCUAAGGAGAUUGUUUCUACUCUUUAUCAGCUUACCUACUUGCAUGAUACAUGAAACAAUGUAUGUUUCCAGUUGUGACCAGUUGUAUGACAGAGUAAGUUCUUUUCAAAACUUAAUAAGAGUUUCCAGUAAGUGUGACACCCCGGGAGGCAAUAUGAGUGAGGCAGCAGGAACUCCUUGAUGUGGCAGGAGAGCCCCAUACCCUUGCAAGGACAGUAGCAUGACUGUUACUUCUUUACUGUAAAAAGUUCUUUAUAUAAGUUCUUAGAAAUAAUAAAGCUGUUUCCACACCCCAAGCCUCAUCAAGAUACUACAGACUGCAUCCAGCAGUUCAUUUACCCUGCACCAGCUCAGUCUCCACUUCAGGCACAAGAUACAGUGCUCAGUAAACAGCUGCUGCAGAUUUCUUAGCAGCUGUGAAGGAGUUAACACAGGAGUCUACCCCUUCUGCUCACUGGGCCACAGAGGUGGCAACCAUUUUGACAGCCAUUAGAGCAGUCUGCAUGCUUCUAUUCCAGUUAAGAAA